CCCUUAGAUGUUCUGGGCCGCACGCGCGCUACACUGAUGCAUUCAACGAGUCUAAAACCUGCUCUGAUAGGGGUGGGUAAUCUUUUGAAUGUGCAUCGUGAUUGGGAUAGAUGAUUGCAAUUUUUCAUCUUCAACGAGGAAUGCCUAGUAAACGCAAGUCAUCAGCUUGCAUUGAUUACGUCCCUGCCCUUUGUACACACCGCCCGUCGCUCCUACCGAUUGGAUGAUCCGAUGAAUAUCAUAGACUGAGAGUAUAAGCAGGUUCGCCUGUCUUUGCUUCUCGGGAAGUGAAGUAAAUCUUAUCAUUUAGAGGAAGGAGAAGUCGUAACA
rnacentral:rRNA from 1 species